CCUCAUCUCCACCAUGGCAUUUCAAAAGAGAAAAGCCAAAACCAAAUAAAACUUAAUAACCAUAAUCAAAUGAAAACGAAACGACAUUUAUAAAGAAAAUAAAUACAGUAAAUUUUAACAAUAAGCGCAAACCUUAAGUAUCUAUAUAUGAAUAAAAUAGUAUAUAGAAGCAAUACCGGGAGAACUGAAACAUCUAAGUACCCCGAGGAAAAGAAAGAAACAUCGAUUUUCAAAGUAGCGGCGAGCGAAAUGGAAAGAGCCCGCUUAAAGAAAAACUAAAACAAUAUCCGAAUGAUCUUGGAAAAAUCAUCCAAAGAAAGUGAAAGACUUGUAGGAAAAGAUAUUAGUUCUUCAAUAAGCUUAACGAGUACCACAAGGCACGAGAAACCUGGUGGGAACACGGGAGGACCACCUCCCAAGGCUAAAUACUACUUGGUGACCGAUAGAGAACAGUACCGUGAGGGAAAGGUAAAAAGAACCCCGAAAGGGGAGUGAAAUAGAACCUGAAACCCUGCGUUUACAAGCAAAGAAAGCACGUGAAAAGUGCAAUCUUGUACUUUUUGUAGAACGGGCCAGCGAGUUACUUUUGUAAGCAAGGUUAAGAAGUUAAGCUUCGAAGCCGAAGAGAAAUCAAGUCUUAAUAGGGCGGUAUAGUUUACAGGAGUAGACCCGAAACCAGGUGACCUAUCCAUGAGCAGAGUGAAGUUAAAGUAAAAUUUAAUGGAGGCUCGAACCGGGUGUGGUUUAAAACACAUCGGAUGACUUGUGGAUAGGGGUGAAAAGCCAAUCGAACCUGGAGAUAGCUGGUUCUCCUCGAAAUAGCUUUAGGGCUAGCCUUUAGGAUGUUUAAUGGAGGUAGAGCUACUGACUGGUUGCGGGGUGUUUAUACAUUACCAAAACCUAUCAAACUCCGAAUGCCAAGAAAACAAACCUAAGGAGUCAGACAUAGUGGGAUAAGCUUCUAUGUCAAAAGGGAAAGAGCCCAGACCAUCAGCUAAGGUCCCCAAAUACCGAUUAAGUGGUAAAGGAUGUGAAGUUACCCAAACAACUAGGAUGUUGGCUUAGAAGCAGCCAUACAUUUAAAGAGUGCGUAAUAGCUCACUAGUCGAGUGACCUUGCGCCGAAGAUUUCCGGGGCUAAAUCGGAUACCGAAGCUGUGGACUCGUAAGAGUGGUAGAGGAGCAUUGUGUAAUAGGCAGAAGCAGUAUCGAAAGGCGCUGUGGACGAAACACAAGAGAGAAUGCUGGCAUAAGUAGCGAGAAGGAGUGUGAGAAUCACUCCCGUCGAAAACCUAAGGGUUCCUGAGCAAGGCUCGUCCCCUCAGGGUAAGUCGGGACCUAAGGCGAGGCCGAAAGGCGUAGCCGAUGGACAACUAGUAAAAAUUCUAGUACUAUCAAAUAUCGUAUAAAUGAAGCGGGGACACAGAAGGAUAAGCUAAGCGUACCAGAUGGACGAGUACGCUCAAAUAAAAAGGCAUGCCAGGACUAAUAACCAGGCUAAGCCAAUUUAUGAUGAGGAUCGAAAACAAGUAGAGAAGUAGCCGAUUUCACACUGUCAAGAAAAGCCGCUAAAUAGAUAAAUGAUACCCGUACCGUAAACCGACACAGGUAGGAAAGGAGAGAAUCCUAAGACGCGCGGAAGAACCUUUGUUAAGGAACUCGGCAAAAUGACCCCGUAAGUUAGCGAGAAGGGGAGCCAGAGCGAUCUGGCCGCAGUGAAUAGGCCCAAGCGACUGUUUACCAAAAACACAAGUUUCUGCUAAGUCGAAAGACGACGUAUAGGAGCUGACACCUGCCCGGUGCUGGAAGGUUAAGGGGAAAUGUUAGCCUCAGGCGAAGCAUAGAACUUAAGCCCCAGUAAACGGCGGCCGUAACUAUAACGGUCCUAAGGUAGCGAAAUUCCUUGUCGGGUAAGUUCCGACCCGCACGAAAGGUGUAAC
rnacentral:rRNA from 1 species